AAGAAAGGGCAAGAAAACAAUAAGUACUGCUAACACUUAUUCCCAGGGUUAAACUCCGUGGCUUUCUCA
rnacentral:tRNA from 1 species